AAAAAGAAAAAGAAAAGACUCUGCAAAAAUUAGGAGAGAAAUCAAAGAGGUGAACUGCUGUGGAAAUUCAACGAGAAAAUGCAAACAUAAAAGAGGAUACACAGGAGUAGGAAAAGCUACAAAGCAUUCAAAGAUUCAAAUCGUCGAUCACUAACACUUCGACAAACACCAAUGAAGACAUUUGCAGCACAGUCGUUAACGUUAAAUGAAAGACCAAAAUGACGUAGCAGCCAUGCCACAGUCCUCAUUCCUCUCUGCCCAACUUGCCGCUGCGACGCUGCUGAACACCACCACUUCACACAACACCAACGUCCACAGCAGCCACGCCGUCCUCCAGCCUAGCGUCACAGCAUGCUCCAUUUUCUCGUCGAUGGCGUAAAAGAAGGUGGCCAUGAACAUAGUUCUCGCAGUGAGAACAACAACCGCAGUAGCUGUCGAAGUUGGAAUGGUUACUGCUGCUCUGUUUUAGGAGCUCAAUUCAAAGAAUUUGGCGGUUGCUGCUGCUCCGUUUUAGGAGCUCAAUCCAAAGAAUUUGGUGGUUGCUACUGCUCCAUUUUAGGAACUCAGUUCGAAGUUGAAAUGGUUGAUGCUACUCCAUUUUAGGAGCUCAUUUCGAAGAAUUUGGCCGUUACUGCUACUCCAUUUUAGGAGCUCAUUGGAAACUACAAGUGAAGAGGAAUAUGACUCAAACAAUUUGACACAAAAUUGGAGAAGGAAGUCACACCCAAAAGAAAAGAAUGAUGCUUCCAACAAAGAAAAAAAAACCCGUCGCAGCCGUCGUCUUAGAGUUGAGAAGAAAUAAAGGUUGCUGGCGAAAAAGAAGAAGAAGAAGCAAAAUCCUAUUUUGAACUUGAAAAGCUUACAUUAAAAAAAAAAAGGAGAAAAUAAAGCUUGGUGGAAGACACUCAUGUAAAAGUCAAAAAAAGAAAAAGCCAUCUCAAAGAUUUUUUUUUUUUACAAAGUUCUUAUGCUACUCUGCCACUUGUUUUUAUGUUUUCAUUAAACAAUAUGAAAACAAAGACUCAUUAAGUCUGCAAUCUGUUGUGCAAGAGACAAAAGUCAAUAACAAAAAGAAAGAGAGCAAGCAUGGAAACGAA